rnacentral:rRNA from 1 species
AUUGAACGCUGGCGGUAUGCUUAACACAUGCAAGUCGGGCGGCAGCGGGGGCUUCGGCCUGCCGGCGAGCGGCGGACGGGUGAGUAAUGCAUAGGAAUCUGCCUCGUAGUGGGGGACAACUUAGGGAAACUUAAGCUAAUACCGCAUACGCCCUUCGGGGGAAAGCGGGGGACUUUCGGGCCUCGCGCUAUGGGAUGAGCCUAUGUUGGAUUAGCUAGUUGGUGGGGUAAAGGCCCACCAAGGCGACGAU